GACGAACGCUGGCGGCGUGCUUAACACAUGCAAGUCGAACGGUGAAGCUCCAGCUUGCUGGCGUGGAUCAGUGGCGAACGGGUGAGUAACACGUGAGCAACCUGCCCCUGACUCUGGAAUAAGCGCUGGAAACGGCGUCUAAUACUGGAUACGAGAAGGGUCCGCAUGGGCACUUUCUGGAAAGUUUUUCGGUUGGGGAUGGGCUCGCGGCCUAUCAGCUUGUUGGUGAGGUAAUGGCUCCCCAAGGCGACGACGGGUAGCCGGCCUGAGAGGGCGAACGGCCACCCUGGGACUGCGGCACGGCCCAGACUGCUACCGGAGGCAGCAGGGGGGAAUAUUGCACAAUGGGGGAAAGCCAGAGGCAGCGACCCCCGGUUAGGGAAGCUGGGCUUCGGGUUGUAAACCUAUUUCUACAGGGAAGAAGCGAAAGUGACGGUACCUGCAGAAGAAGCACCGGCUAACUACGUG
rnacentral:rRNA from 1 species